rnacentral:tRNA from 1 species
UUAAAUGGCUGAAAUUUAGGCAAUAGACUGUAAAUCUAUUUAUGAGAGUUAUUCUCUUUAAUCA